AUUUAAAUAGCUUAAGUAAAGUUUAAUAUUGAAGAUAUUAAGAUAAUUUAUUAGUAAAUUUUUAAAUA
rnacentral:tRNA from 1 species